rnacentral:rRNA from 1 species
UACGGAGGGUGCAAGCGUUGCUCGGAAUUAUUGGGCGUAAAGGGUAGGUAGGUGGUCUCAUUUGUCUGGGGUGAAAGCCUUGAGCUUAACUCAAGAAGUGCCCUAGAAACGGUGAGACUGGAGUCCUGGAGAGGGUCGUGGAAUUCCCGGUGUAGCGGUGAAAUGCGUAGAGAUCGGGAGGAACACCAGAGGCGAAAGCGGCGACCUGGACAGGUACUGACACUCAAAUACGAAAGCGUGGGGAGCAAACAGG